GUAGUCAUAUGCUUGUCUCAAAGAUUAAGCCAUGCAUGUCUAAGUAUAAACACGUUAUACUGUGAAACUGCGAAUGGCUCAUUAAAUCAGUUAUAGUUUAUUUGAUGGUUUUUGCUACAUGGAUAACUGUGGUAAUUCUAGAGCUAAUACAUGCGUACAAGCCCCGACUUCUGGAAGGGGUGUAUUUAUUAGAUAAAAAUCAACACUGUUGGUGAAUCAUGAUAACUUCUCGGAUCGCAUGGCCUCGUGCUGGCGAUACUUCAUUCAAAUAUCUGCCCUAUCAACUGUCGAUGGUAGGAUGGAGGCCUACCAUGGUUGCAACGGGUAACGGGAAUA
rnacentral:rRNA from 1 species